rnacentral:rRNA from 1 species
GCAGUCGACGGUGAAGCAGAGCUUGCUCUGUGGAUCAGUGGCGAACGGGUGAGUAACACGUGAGCAACCUGCCCCGGACUCUGGGAUAAGCGCUGGAAACGGCGUCUAAUACUGGAUACGAGCUUCAGCCGCAUGGCUAGGAGCUGGAAAGAUUUUUUGGUCUGGGAUGGGCUCGCGGCCUAUCAGCUUGUUGGUGAGGUAAUGGCUCACCAAGGCGUCGACGGGUAGCCGGCCUGAGAGGGUGACCGGCCACACUGGGACUGAGACACGGCCCAGACUCCUACGGGAGGCAGCAGUGGGGAAUAUUGCACAAUGGGCGGAAGCCUGAUGCAGCAACGCCGCGUGAGGGAUGACGGCCUUCGGGUUGUAAACCUCUUUUAGCAAGGAAGAAGCGAAAGUGACGGUACUUGCAGAAAAAGCGCCGGCUAACUACGUGCCAGCAGCCGCGGUAAUACGUAGGGCGCAAGCGUUAUCCGGAAUUAUUGGGCGUAAAGAGCUCGUAGGCGGUUUGUCGCGUCUGCUGUGAAAUCCCGAGGCUCAACCUCGGGCCUGCAGUGGGUACGGGCAGACUAGAGUGCGGUAGGGGAGAUUGGAAUUCCUGGUGUAGCGGUGGAAUGCGCAGAUAUCAGGAGGAACACCGAUGGCGAAGGCAGAUCUCUGGGCCGUAACUGACGCUGAGGAGCGAAAGGGUGGGGAGCAAACAGGCUUAGAUA